UACGUAGGGUGCAAGCGUUAAUCGGAAUUACUGGGCGUAAAGCGUGCGCAGGCGGUGAUGUAAGACAGGUGUGAAAUCCCCGGGCUUAACCUGGGAACUGCAUUUGUGACUGCAUGGCUAGAGUACGGCAGAGGGGGAUGGAAUUCCGCGUGUAGCAGUGAAAUGCGUAGAUAUGCGGAGGAACACCGAUGGCGAAGGCAAUCCCCUGGGCCUGUACUGACGCUCAUGCACGAAAGCGUGGGGAGCAAACAGG
rnacentral:rRNA from 1 species